UACGUAGGGUGCGAGCGUUAAUCGGAAUUACUGGGCGUAAAGCGUGCGCAGGCGGUUUGUAAGCCAGAUGUGAAAUCCCCGGCUUAACCUGGAAUGGCAUUUGGGACUGCAAGGCUGGAGUGCGGCAGAGGAGACUGGAAUUCCUGGUGUAGCAGUGAAAUGCGUAGAUAAUCAGGAGGAAUACCGAUGGCGAAGGCAGGUCUCUGGGCUGACACUGACGCUCAUGGCACGAAAGCGUGGGGAGCAAA
rnacentral:rRNA from 1 species